rnacentral:tRNA from 1 species
GGCAUGGUGGCCAAGUGGCAAGGCAUUGGUCUCGUAAAGCAAAGAUCAUGGGUUCAACCCCCAUUCAUGCCU